rnacentral:rRNA from 1 species
UGAGGAAUAUUGGUCAAUGGGCGAGAGCCUGAACCAGCCAAGUAGCGUGCAGGAUGACGGCCCUAUGGGUUGUAAACUGCUUUUAUGUGGGGAUAAAGUGCGUGACGUGUCAUGCAUUGCAGGUACCACAUGAAUAAGGACCGGCUAAUUCCGUGCCAGCAGCCGCGGUAAUACGGAAGGUCCGGGCGUUAUCCGGAUUUAUUGGGUUUAAAGGGAGCGUAGGCUGUCUAUUAAGCGUGUUGUGGAAUUUACCGGCUCAACCGGUGGCUUGCAGCGCGAACUGGUCGACUUGAGUAUGCAGGAAGUAGGCGGAAUUCAUGGUGUAGCGGUGAAAUGCUUAGAUAUCAUGACGAACUCCGAUUGCGCAGGCAGCUUACUGUAGCAUAACUGACGCUGAUGCUCGAAAGUGCGGGUAUCAAACAGG